GCGUUCGUAGCUCAAUUGGACAGAGCAUCGCCCUCCGGAGGCGAAGGUUUCAGGUUCAAAUCCUGUCGGACGCA
rnacentral:tRNA from 2 species